rnacentral:misc_RNA from 1 species
GAUGAAGAACGUAGCGAAAUGCGAUAAGUAAUGUGAAUUGCAGAAUUCAGUGAAUCAUCGAAUCUUUGAACGCACAUUGCGCCCGCCAGUAUUCUGGCGGGCAUGCCUGUCUGAGCGUCAUUUCAACCCUCAUGCCCCUAGGGCGUGGUGUUGGGGAUCGGCCAAAGCCCGCGAGGGACGGCCGGCCCCUAAAUCUAGUGGCGGACCCGUCGUGGCCUCCUCUGCGAAGUAGUGAUAUUCCGCAUCGGAGAGCGAUGAGCCCCUGCCGUUAAACCCCCAACUUUCCAAGGUUGACCUCAGAUCAGGUAGGAAUACCCGCUGAACUUAAGCAUAUCCAAUAAGCGGAGGA